AUACGUAGGGUGCGAGCGUUGUCCGGAAUUACUGGGCGUAAAGAGCUCGUAGGUGGUUUGUCGCGUCGUCUGUGAAAUUCCGGGGCUUAACUCCGGGCGUGCAGGCGAUACGGGCAUAACUUGAGUACUGUAGGGGAGACUGGAAUUCCUGGUGUAGCGGUGAAAUGCGCAGAUAUCAGGAGGAACACCGGUGGCGAAGGCGUGUCUCUGGGCAGUAACUGACGCUGAGGAGCGAAAGCAUGGGUAGCGAACAGGAUUAGAUACCCUGGUAGUCCAUGCCGUAAACGGUGGGCGCUAGGGGUAGGGGUCUUCCACGACUUCUGUGCCGUAGCUAACGCAUUAAGCGCCCCGCCUGGGGAGUACGGCCGCAAGGCUAAAACUCAAAUGAAUUGACGGG
rnacentral:rRNA from 1 species